AUGUUAAACUCCCAAAUUGAUCAGCCCCUGAUGAAUUCCCACUCUCAAGAUAGAUUUGCAAGUGCUGCCCACAUAGUGUUCGACACAUGGUCUGAAUCAGGAACUCCAGACGAGAGUACAAGUAUUAUCGAAAACCACUCACCGAGUACAAUUCCUAACCUUCGAGGUAGAGUUCUUCAUGUGGUCAUACAUCAAGUUCAGCUAUCAGUGUCGGCAGAGGUGAUUGAUCAGGUUUUUCCUGCAUAUGGCGACAAUAGAAGAAAAUUUUCAGUCCCCUCAUCAGCAAUCACCUCAUCAUGCCCCUUCUUUGUUUGUUGA
rnacentral:rRNA from 1 species